UAGCCUAUGUAACUAAGUGCCAUGAGCAGGC
rnacentral:piRNA from 1 species